CUGCUUUGGAGGCAUCUGGAUCCACCAACUAUGUGUUAGUCACAUCUCCCGCAGUAUGAGAUCCAUUUCCUAAUUAGUGGUUGCUUUCAUAUCCCUUAAUUUCUCUGCAGUUUUCUUGUUUGAUUUGAUCUUGUUUCUUCUCUUACCAAAAGGUGGGCAAGUUUCAGAGGAGCAGAACUGUAAAAGGAAAGAAACAAUCUCCUAGCUGCAAAGAGGUAAACGACUCUAAAUUCUUUUGCAUCUCUUAGAACAAAAGAACAGAAAUAAGAUCAAAGAGCUAAGUGAAAAAAACUCCUUAGGGUGAUGCAAUAAAGGAAGGCCAAGUUAUUGGAUACUUACAUCAGUUGGGAACAGAACUUCCAGUGACGGUAAUAUCUUAACUAAUAUAUCCAUCUCUUCUUUGAAACUAUCUAAUCAGACUCAUCGAUCUUGCUAUUUGUCGAGCAGUCAGAUGUAGCUGGAGAAGUC
rnacentral:lncRNA from 1 species